AGCCUCGAGCUCAGGGUUGGAUCUUUCGGCUGGUAACCGAAGAGUUGUUGGUUCAAAUCCAAUCUGAGCCUU
rnacentral:tRNA from 1 species